UGCAUGGUGGUGCAGUUGGUAGCACUGUUGCCUUACAGAAUAAAUGUCCUGGGUUCGACUCCUGGUCGGGGGUCU